rnacentral:rRNA from 1 species
GGGCCCGCACAAGCGGUGGAGCAUGUGGUUUAAUUCGAUGCAACGCGAGGAACCUUACCAGGGGCUUAAAUGUAGUGGGACAGGUCUAGAGAUAGACCCUUCUUCGGACUCAUUACAAGGUGCUGCAUGGUUGUCGUCAGCUCGUGCCGUGAGGUGUCAGGUUAAGUCCUAUAACGAGCGCAACCCCCCUAUCGUUAGUUGCCAGCGAGUAAUGUCGGGAACUCUAACGAAACUGCCAGUGCAAACUGUGAGGAAGGUGGGGGAUGACGUCAAAUCAUCACGGCCCUUACGUCCUGGGCUACACACGUGCUACAAUGGCCGGUACAGAGAGCAGCCACUUCGCAAGAAGGAGCG